rnacentral:rRNA from 1 species
AUACGGAGGAUCCGAGCGUUAUCCGGAUUUAUUGGGUUUAAAGGGUGCGCAGGCGGCCAUUUAAGUCAGCGGUUAAAUCGUGGGGCUCAACCCCAUUCUGCCGUUGAUACUGGGUGGCUUGAUUGCGGUCGAGGUUGGCGGAAUUCGUUGUGUAGCGGUGAAAUGCAUAGAUAUGACGAAGAACACCGAUUGCGUAGGCAGCUGUCCAGACCGCAAAUGACGCUCAUGCACGAAAGUGCGGGGAUCGAACAGGAUUAGAUACCCUGGUAGUCCGCACAGUAAACGAUGAAUACUUGUUUUCGGCGAUAUAAUGUCGGAGGCAAAGCGAAAGCGAUAAGUAUUCCACCUGGGGAGUACGCCGGCAACGGUGAAACUCAAAGGAAUUGACGGGG